rnacentral:rRNA from 1 species
GACGAACGCUGGCGGCGUGCUUAACACAUGCAAGUCGAGCGGUAAGGCCCUUUCGGGGGUACACGAGCGGCGAACGGGUGAGUAACACGUGGGUGACCUGCCCUUAGCUCUGGGAUAAGCCUGGGAAACUGGGUCUAAUACCGGAUAUGACUCCAUAACGCAUGUUGUGGGGUGGAAAGCCUUGUGCGGCUAGGGAUGGGGCCCGCGGCCUAUCAGCUUGUUGGUGGGGUGAUGGCCACCGAAGGCGACGACGGGUAGCCGGCCUGAGAGGGCGACCGGCCACACU